UACGUAGGGUGCAGGCGUUAAUCGGAAUUACUGGGCGUAAAGCGUGCGCAGGCGGUUUGCUAAGACAGGUGUGAAAUCCCCGGGCUCAACCUGGGAAUGGCAUUGGUGACUGCACGGCUAGAGUUUGGCAGAGGGGGGUAGAAUUCCACGUGUAGCAGUGAAAUGCGCAGAUAUCAGGAAGAACACCUAUGGCGAAGGCAGCUCUCUGGGCCGUAACUGACGCUGAGGAGCGAAAGCGUGGGGAGCGAACAGG
rnacentral:rRNA from 1 species